UCUGUUUUAGUAUAAUGAUUACUCCAGCUUUUCGUGCCGGCGAUGGUGUUUACACCAAACAGCG
rnacentral:tRNA from 1 species